rnacentral:rRNA from 1 species
AUUGAACGCUGGCGGCAGGCUUAACACAUGCAAGUCGAGCGAGCGGCGGACGGGUGAGUAAUGUCUGGGAAACUGCCUGAUGGAGGGGGAUAACUACUGGAAACGGUAGCUAAUACCGCAUACCAUCAGAUGUGCCCAGAUGGGAUUAGCUAGUAGGUGGGGUAAUGGCUCACCUAGGCGACGAUCCCUAGCUGGUCUGAGAGGAUGACCAGCCACACUGGAAAUGAGACACGGUGCAGACUACUACGGGAGGCAGCAGUGGGGAAUAUGGCACAAUGGGCGAAAGCCUGAUGCAGCGAGGCCGCGUGUGUGAAGAAGGCCUUCGGGUUGUAAAGCACUUUCAGCGAGGAGGAGUUACUCGCAGAAGAAGCACCGGCUAACUACGUGCCAGCAGCCGCGGUAAUAC